rnacentral:lncRNA from 1 species
CCAAACACUAGAUGGCAGUACCGGGUAAAACCUUGUUUGCAUGUUAUAAGACCUCUUUGCUUAAAUUUCUCAUCUGUAUCGGAUACAUUCUAUUCCUUUCAUUCAUUCUAUAUCCUUUUCUAACGGGCGGAGCAGUUCUUCGUUUUUUUAGGAGAUGGGUAUUUACGCCCCUUUAGAUUCUGGUGACAUGGGGCAAAUGGAAAAAUUUUGUUAACAGGAACACCUCAACCUGUAUGAGAUUUAGCGCGAAAAAAAUGUUGCACUCGGUGACUAAAUGGGAUUGCCGCAUACAAGUAUCAGCGGACAGCUGUGUCAAAUCCAGACACGAUAGCGAUAGAUUAAAACUAAAAUAAUGAUUAGAUUCGAUGAUUUACACAUCUACUAAACGACCAAUGAGUAGUUAAUGUGGUUUACAUCGCUCGGUCCUUUUCUCACCAAUAAUGUUGUUGUCAAAUGUGACAAACGGAUGUGGGAAGACAACAAAAGAAAAAAUCAUGAAAAUGGUGACUGUAAGAAAAUAAGGAUGGCAGAAAAACAAUAAUAACAGUUAAGUAAGGUCUAAUCGAGAGUCAAUAGUAAGGUGUGGAGAGUCAAUUUCAUUCAAAAAACUUUGAACCAAAAGCUCAUUAGAAACCCAAAAUUUGUGAAAACUGUAGCUACUCGUAAAAAAGACUCAAGAUGGUGGUUAUAGUUACCGAGUACAGGAAACUGGACACUUAUUGCAGUGCUGAAGUCGCCAGACGGUCUCUAGGUAAUCGAAAUUAAUUACUUGCAAUUAGGAUAUGUAAAAAACAUCUGGACUUACCCUUUCCUUACCAUGCAAAAGCAAAAAGUUGAAGAGAUGCAUGCAAUGCAAUGCUUUGCCGCCUUGCACCUUUACAUCUCAAUUCUUUCAUUGUACUUGCCUUUGAAAGCCAAUGAAUCCCUUUUGCUGAUACUGUUUUUCCUUGCUUUGAUUAAUUUCCUGAUUCUGUUUUUUCAUAUGAUUGUUUUAAAUUAAAUUUAUGCAAACAGAAAAUUAUACUGGCAUAGUUUUAGUUUUUAAUGCAUGUCAACUUGUUUAGCAUUCGUUUCGAGCGGGUUUAUCCUGUGUGUGGGUGAUUUGUAGAAUACUUUUAAAAACUUUUGCCUUUUACCUUUUGUGUGCCUUGGUUUCCGUUGGAUGGUUUUAGCUUGGUUUUUUUUUUUUGGCCGUUGAAACCAAUUUCGUUCUUAGAACCCAUUGUUGCCUUUUGGUGCGGAAGCCAUAGGCAUAGGUCUUCAAAGCCUCCAAGCUUUGUUCCAGUUUUUGAACUUCUUUGUAGCAUUUUUGUUUUGUUUCAUUAUCUGUGUUUUUAUCUCGUAGUCAAUUCUGCUUCAAUUUCGUGCACGGCUGCCCUUUGCGCAGUGAGCUCUUUCCAGGAUAGCUACACGUAACGCCAUGUCGCAUUUCAUGACGGCGGCCAUGUAUUCGGUUUGCGGGUGUCCCUAAAAUGCGGAAGCGAAACGCGAAACAAACAGCGACUAAAACGCGAAACGCGGUGCGAAUCAAGAUGGUUUGUUUCGCGGUUUAGCCGCUGAAUGGUGUUUCAUUCCCAUGCUAAAGUGCGAAACAACGUUGCGAAACAGAAGGCUGCUGGAUGGCUGGCGAAAUCGCGAAAUGUUAAUAUUUCAAUAAAUAAAAAAAGAAAAUUUUAACAGGAAUCGCAGGCUUUUACAUUUCUGACAGAGCCAAACAGUCUCAUGAGUUUUUUCAGGCCAAAUUUAACAUGCUAUGGAACCAUUCAAGGCCCUCAGAGGUCAGAGCACUGGAGAACAUCCCAGUUAGCCCACGGCUUUACAUUUUUUGGUUUAUACUCAAUUUUAUUCAAUCAAUUAAUUUCAGUAACGCGUCUCUACCCAACGG